rnacentral:rRNA from 1 species
AUGCAGGUGCUCGCCUGGCUGGCUGGGCUAGCAGCUGUAUGGGAACGGCGGUGGGGUCUCGGUGCGUGCGGGCCUGGCCGCGGCUCUGCUGUUGUCUUCGGCAAGGGUCUUGCCGUGGCACCGCGGUCGUCCCCGGCAAGGAUGUUGCCGGAGGUCUCGUCUUCCGGUCCUCAUCUGAUAUCGCGUGUGUUAAUGAUCUUCACAAAGAUCUGUAUGCCACCAUGGAGGUGCCUCCCGAGCCUUGGUUCCAAUGUGGUUGAUGGUGUUGGAAACCUCGGGCUCAAGGGUGGCGUGCUCCGUUGGUGUUGGGCAGGCCGCCCCGGCAAGGCUCUUGCCGGGGCUGCGGAGGCCGCCCCGGCAAGGGUCUUGCCAGGGGAGCCCACCUCGCCCUCUCGCUCUUCGCGUUUCUGUCUUGGCGUUGCUUGA